AUGCUUUCCAUUCGCAGCACACUUACUAAAAUUAGAACUAUACAGAACAGAUUAGCAUGUCCCCUAUGUGACGAUGACACACAGGCUGGCAAUGUGUAUGUGCACGUCUCU
ensembl:snRNA U6 U6 spliceosomal RNA